GAAACAAUAAAUAUCCCUGAAGUGCACACAGAGGUGUAUAAACCUCUGAGGCUAAGCUAUGAAUACUUGGGAAUUAAUGAAGCUAAGUACCUCUUUUUGCUUUGUUCCUUGUUUGAGGAAGAUAGUAAUAUCUGUCCUGAAGAAUUACUUAGAUAUGGAAUGGGGCUUCACAUCUUUCCAGGAAUCAAAAAUUUGGAACAUGCAAGAAAUAAGGUGUGUUAUCUGUUGGAAAUGUUGAAAGAUUGUUUCUUGUUAUCCCAAGGUUCAGAAAAAAAUUGUGUCAAG
rnacentral:misc_RNA from 1 species